UAAUAUAUAUAUAUAUAUAUACACAUGUAUACAUAUAUGUAUUCUAUUAUAAAUGGAGGGAGAAGAAAUCGUGAUGCGUUAAGGGGGAGGACAGAACGAAUGAGUCUACACUCAUAUUACUAUGUUACACUUAUGCGUUCUCAUAUUUUUAAUUACGAACUAAUAUUAGUUAUUUACUAUAUUUGUUAUACGAUUAAAGAAAUUAUCGCAGCCAACAGAUUCACCUCAUGUCCAUCAUAGAGACAGAAAAACAAUGAAGAUAACAGAAAAACGUUACGAAGCUAUUUGAAGCUUAGGUAUAUGUGUAAAUAACAUUUACAAUAAUAAAUUAUGACGAUGAUCGGACACUUUGAACUCGAUUAACUUCAUCAGUUGGCGAUAAAGUUACUCUAAACAGAUUCUUUUUCUUGUUUGUGCACAUCUGUACAGAAAAAAGCGUAAGUACAAAAGUAUACUAUUUUAAAUGUCACGGAAGGGGAAAAAAAGGAUCCGAAUCUGAGAAACAAACGAAUUCAUAUUGAGACGUGUUAUGCUAAUAAAGUUGUAAAUGCAACAAUUUUAUUGUAAUUUUUUUCUUUCAGUUAAAAGCAUUACAAUCGUAACGAUCAUUUCCAUAAUCGAAAAACGAUCUUUUAUCGCUUUUUUGAAUUUCCAUUUUUUUCUUUUUUUUCUUUUUAAAUUGCCGCUCAGAUUUCGUAAGCGCCAUUUUAAUUGUAUGAAGCCGACUUCAGAUCGCGCAGUUAAUUGAAUGUAAAUAUUUAAUUUUGUUCUCUGUAUAAAUCACAUGAAUAUUUAUUUUUUGUAAUUAGAUUUUAUAUUGGAACUGUUAGCUUUGCCUGUAUAAACGAUUAAAUUUGUUUAGCAAAUAUGAUUGAUGAAACCGAAAUAUGAUAUGUCCGCCAUAAUGUGAAAUAAGUGCUCACAAUCGUCACUAGAGAGCGCUUUGUUCGUCAUAUUCGUCCUAAUGCGCAAAUGCGACGGAUGCAUGUAUCUGGACAUACGAAUGAAGAAUAAAAGAAUUCAAUGUCUUGGAUUAAUUCUCGCUGAGGGAAACUCGUCGUUAACUUCGCUAAGGUAUCCAUAACCGAGAUGAAAGUUUCGAGCUAUUCGGUAUGUCAUAUAUAGAUGUACACGCCGUGUGCAGAAGCGAGAGGCAGAUGAGCGAGGAAGGAAGAAAGAGAUAUCGCGCUCAGGGAAAGAGUAAAGUCCGGCUCGUCAGAGGAGGAUCCGCGAUAAGAGCGAGAGAGGGACGGAUGCACGAGGAAUAAA